ACCAUGAUUCCUGUUUGACAACAAAGCACUUGAACGCGAUAAACUCAUAAUUACAACUUCAGAAGUGGAAAAAGGAAGUUCCGUGAAGCACGUGAAGGCAGCACAAACACAUGACCUUGUCAUUUGUCUCAUUUUAAAUUCAAAUCAGUUAGUCUUGAAUGUAGACCAGCAUCCAAAUUCAUUAAUGUUCUUUAGUUGUAUAAAAACUCAUUAUUGUUCUAAGCCAGGGGUGUCAAACUCAGUUCCUGGAGGGCCACAGCCCUAGAGUUUAGAUUUAACCUUAAUCAAACACAUCUGGGGCCUGUACCAUGAUGGUAGUUUAACAAAUUCAGAGUUACAGAAUUAGUUUUGAGUUGACAAAACCAAACCACUCCAGUCUUUGUUGGUACCAUGAUGCUGAUCAUCAACUUUCUUUGUCAACUCAGGCUUUGAUCCUGAGUUUGUGGAGAGCGUGCACAUGUGUGACAUCAGUGUCUAGCAGCCAAUCACAUGCCUCACAACACAGAGCAAGUGUGAUUCACUUCUCGCGACAGAGCCAGCAAGAUCCAAAACUGUUUUGCUAAAGGUUAAGAUAUUGAAGAAUAUGAGGAAUUUAAAGGGGUGGUUGACUGUUUUUUUUUUCUAGGCUUGAUUGUGUUUAUGGGGUGCAGUCAAACAUGUGUUCAUGCUUCGUUUUUAAAAACACAUUAUUUUUCACAUAAUUUACCUUUAUUCUACACCGCUCUGUCCCUUCUCUGAUAAACGCUCCGAUCCUGGUUUUAUGAAGCCCCUCCCUCAGAAAUACGUGAUGGGCUCAGAUUGGUUAGCUGGUCCAGUGUGUUGUAAACCGUCUCUAGUGCGCGUCUAAACGUCCCGCCCCUCACCUCAGCGGCAUGUGCUCCGUUUGUAUUGUAAACAAUGGCGUCGUCAAUAUUGCUUAUCAAUUUGAGCCCGAUUGAGACCCAGAGAAUAUUAAUGAAAAGGAUUGCGCAGAACCUGUGCAAGCACGGCUCUUAAUGGUAUGUUUUUUGUUUGUUUGCUGUUGGUUCGUACUUUUAGAUACGCUGUUAUUUGUAAGUGCUACUGCUUUGGUUUAUCCUGAUUGAAGCUUUAAUACAGCACAGCAACCGCACGUGUGUCCAUGUAUAACGCUUCUCAUAGCUAUGUGAAAAUAAGUGUAUAAUUGGAACAGUUUUUUGGAGCUGAUCUCACCAUCUGAAUGAGAGAGAGAGAGAGAGAUGCAGAGCAGGGGGAUGCGAGGAACAGUAUUAAGAACUGCUGCUUUAGAACAUAUGAUUUUGAAACUUGUGAAUCCAUUAGAAUCGUUAGAAGACAGAAUCGCGAUUCAUACAUGAAUAGAUUUUUACGUGCACCCCUAGUUUUCUCUUCCUCUUCUCUAAAGCAGCGGAGCUUGGCCUCGCCCUCUUUGCUGCAUGUUCCCGAGGGCGGGUUUAUCUUGGUUCGUGACAUAACGGACCUGGGAAGUAACUCGUUGUAGUUCCUACGAGCCGUUUUUGUAGGCAUUAAAUCUCCGUUUGCAUUGAACUUUCAGCGCUGCAACUUUGCAGAUAUUGUUUAUGCUCAAACAGCAACAUUACACACUAACUAACGUUAAAAACAGUGAAAUCACAAUCAACCACCCCUUUAAAUGCAUUUACACUGAAGAAAGUACUUGUCCAUGAAAGAGGACAAAUAAAAGACAUUAUCUUGCUUUAUCAGUGCAGUCACAAGUGAAACUUGUGAAGUUAGUUUAUAGUUAUAUUUAUAGAGAGAAUGUAUAUUAUUAUAAUAUUAUUAUAUUAUUAUAAUAAUAUAUUAAUACAUAAUAUAGAUAUAUAUAUAUUAGUUUAUAUAGAGAAACUGGGGGAGUUACUUUUUUUGCGUCAGACAUCAAUUUCAGUUUGAGAUCUCUAACUCAGAACAAAACCUGCCCUGGAGCAGGUUAGCUGUGGAGUGUAAGUUACUAUGGCGAUGAAUGCUGCUAAAAGCCAAGCUACUUUCAUGGAACCUAAAACCCAGGAUUGGUGCAAACUAAACUGAAUCUUACCUGGCUAGCCAGUUAAUCCGGCUUCAUGGUACAGGCCCCUGAUCCAGCUAAUCAAGUCCUUCUGGCUAUUUGAAAACUACAUGGGAUGUGUGUUGGAGCAGGGUUGGAACUAAACCGAUGUGCGUUAUUAUCGGCAGUCACUUCCCAUCAGGCUUUUAAUGUUGUGAGAGUAUUGACAUCAUAGCAAGUCAGAGAGCAUUUCUAACUGUCAUGAUCCCUGGUGAUCAGUUCUGCUUAUCUCAAACAAUGUCAUGAUCUACUGGUUGAGAUCAAGAAAGUUAAAGGAACGUGUUUUUGGUCUGUUUCUGCAGUUGGUGCUUCAUCUGUGUGUUUGCUGUUCUGAUAAAUAAAGUGUGUCUGCAGGUCACAGUAGAGGCUGUUAUUGGAGGUUCUGUUGUCCUGCCGUGUUCUUCAACUGAACACCAUCUUAAACUUCAAGACAUUAGUGUGUUUUGGAGACACAAUGGCAGUGAGACUAUUUAUGAUUUAAUUAAGGGUAAUGAUUCAGUAGCAGAACAGAACCCACGGUACAAGAACAGAGCUAAAACUUUCCCUGACGAGUAUCUGAGAGGAAACUUUUCCAUCAAGCUCAUAAAUCUUCAACACACUGAUGCAGGAGAGUUCAGCUGCUUCAUCAUACACUCAUCUGAUUCAAAACAGGAGACUGUAUGGCUGCUCAUUAACGAAUCAAUAGUAGAAAAAGGAAGCAAUUCUACUGAUCAAGCAAACCAAGAACCAGAAACAAAUGCACACCAAUGGUAUAUAUCAAUCAUCUGUGUUUGCAUUCUUUUAAUCAUUGUGUCUGUAAUCUGUGUCAUACUUCGCAUGAGAAAAAGACCUCAAGCUCCCAUAUAGAAGGCACUGUGGCAAACAGAAGGGCAGCUGCACACAGCAAGUGUCAACAGCAUCUGAGCAGCCUGUAUUUUCCAGCACCCAUGUUAACAAAUAAGUGUUCACAUCAGAAGCAUGAGCAGCAUGUUACUCGUAUUCUCUCACCUCAUAUAGUCUUGUUACAAUGUUGCUGACAGAAAUCAGUGUGCACUGCUUAUUCUUAUUGUAUAAUAGAAUGAUAUCUUGAAACACUGAAACGGGAACAAUUUUGCUGUCAAUAUUCUGUAGCGCAAGUGUUUUGCCAGAAUAAAUACAUUUAGUAUUCUUUAUGUAUUUCUUAUUUGUUAAUAUUGGAACUGCACUUCAUUUAAAAACAACUCUGAUUUAUUAAUUCCUGAUAAUGCAUCAGCCAAUUUAAUGAAUUCUGUUUCAAUCUGUUCAUGCUCAUGAUUGAGACUGUUACACAGCUCUGUAGACUGUUGUCAGAAGAUUAAAAUUAUUUAGUGUAGUUGCUGUGCUACGAUAUGCUCUACUAAAAAGGAAGACUCUUUAUUUGGCCAAUUUUACUGAGUCAUAUACCAGGAGAGGAAAGUUUUCUUGUGAAUUUUAAAGAUUGAUUGUUAAACAAUUUAAUCUUUUUCUUUUGCAAGUUUCAUAGCAAGAAUUAUGAAAACUGCAUUUAUUAUUACGCUGCUCUCGAACCUUGCAUAUCUUCCGAAUAAUAAUCAUAACAUGUAAAAGAUUUUAGUUUCUUAAACAUGAACACAACGCUGUAAUAGAUCACAUUCUUUUAUUUUGUUGGGCACAUUUCUAAUAUUAAUACUAAUAGAUAUUGUUACUUUGCCAGAUUUGAUUUCAGAUGAAAACUUUUUGUUUUCAGACAUUUGUAAAGCAUUUUAUUCUUUUACACAUUUAUUUAUUUUCAUAUACAUGUAUGUAUGUAUUGAUGGAGUUUUUCAAAAUCACAGUGAAGGAUAAAGCGACUUGUCUAGAUAGGAUGUCAUUUCUAAGAAUAUGUGCAGUAUAUGUUUUGUCAACUAAAAGAACAGGAACUAAAGAAUUUGCUUUCUAAACAUGUGAGACUCUUGUCUGGUUUAUUCUACUUCUCUUUAUGUUGAUGUUCAGAUUUACAUUACAUUACAAAAACUGUAGUUGUGAAAAGACAGUCUUAAUUUUCUCAGAUUUCUUGCGGUUAUACAAUUUGAUGCAACAGAGAUAUGCUGUAUAAAAUUCAAUUUAUCACUAUAACUGAGCUAAGAACAAUAUCAUUUUGGUUUGUAAAUUCUUUUAUUGUGAUGUAAUUAUAAUUAAUAAAAUAAUUAAG